CCUACGGGAGGCAGCAGUAGGGAAUAUUGGGCAAUGGGCGGAAGCCUGACCCAGCCACGCCGCGUGCAGGAAGACGGCCCUCUGGGUUGUAAACUGCUUUUAACUGGGAAGAAAGCAGCUCAUGCGUGAGAAUUUGACGGUACCAGUUGAAUAAGCCACGGCUAACUACGUGCCAGCAGCCGCGGUAAUACGUAGGUGGCGAGCGUUAUCCGGAUUUAUUGGGUUUAAAGGGAGCGUAGGCGGCUGAUUAAGUCAGCGGUGAAAGGUAGCAGCUUAACUGUUUUACAUGCCGUUGAUACUGGUUAGCUUGAGUUGACAGAAGGCAGAUAGAAUUCCUGAUGUAGCGGUGAAAUGCUUAGAUAUCAGGAGGAAUACCGAUUGCGAAGGCAGUCUGCUGCAGUCACACUGACGCUGAGGCUCGAAGGUGCGGGGAUCAAACAGGAUUAGAUACCCUGGUAGUCCGCACAGUAAACGAUGAUUACUAGAUGUUGGCUAUGCCNGUGUCGAGGAACGAGUAAGUAAUACACCGUGGAGACGCCGCGACGAGAACGUACGAAGAAGUAGACGACGUGAGACGACGACGAGGACGACGACGAGGGGAGGAGG
rnacentral:rRNA from 1 species